rnacentral:lncRNA from 1 species
AAGCUUGGAUUGGAAGUUGCUGGCCAGAUGGAGUGUUUGGAUGAGAACUGUUCUAGCAGCUGCCGUGGUAUCCAGUGAGAUUGUGAGACCCAGUCUGACAAUCAAGGGGAUGAAGAUCUCUCUUUUCUUCUGUUUCCUCCUAGCUACAAGGUGUUUCCUUGUAGCAUAAUGGGCAAUCAGUCACCUGUAUGGAACUCUGGAAGCCAAACUUCAACUAAGACUAAAGAAGGAGGCCUCCAUGCUCAGUACCAGACAUUGAGAAACCAGGAGAACACUUUUGUAUUUGUGGUUAAACUGGAUUCACAUAUUCUCUAAGUGGAUAUUUUUAGAUUUAGAGUUGUCUUUGAAAAGAAUAGGAAUGAGGUAAUGUUUAGUAUGAAAGUGAUACUGAAAAAUACUCAGCACUGGGAAUGAACUUUCAACUCCCCUUCCUGGAAGACACAUAUAACAGUGCACAGAACACAUUAUAAAUAAUUCUAUUGGCCCAUGCCUCUGUCUAUGCUGUCAAGAAAGGAAGAAUGGAAACAGACCAAAAGGACAGAUAAACAGAAAUGUCCCAAGU